rnacentral:rRNA from 1 species
GACAGCAGUAGCCACGGGAAUACGUAGGUGGCAAGCGUUGUCCGGAAUUAUUGGGCGUAAAGCGCGCGCAGGUGGUUUAAUAAGUCUGAUGCGAAAGCCCACGGCUCAACCGUGGAGGGUCAUUGGAAACUGUUAAACUUGAGUGCAGGAGAGAAAAGUGGAAUUCCUAGUGUAGCGGUGAAAUGCGUAGAGAUUAGGAGGAACACCAGUGGCGAAGGCGGCUUUUUGGCCUGUAACUGACACUGAGGCGCGAAAGCGUGGGGAGCAAACAGGAUUAGAUACCCCGGUAGUCCCUGUCUCUUAUAC